UGGAGACUGAUUUUCCCUCCCUCACAUGCAGAGAUAAGAAGAACUCUUCCCAAUAAUUAUGUGAUUUACUUGGAUUCCUUCCAAAGAAUGAAGAAAAACAGAGCAGGAAUGUCCUAGGAGCAGAAAAGAUAUCAUGAAGUGAACUAUGAGCUCCAACCAUGAUGUACUGUGCUGUCACAGCAGAAAGCAAAAAGAUCCACUGGACCAAGGACUGCAGCCUAUGAAACCAGGAGACCCAGUGACGUCUUCCUCCUUCCGUUAAGGUUGGAGAAUGGAACACUACUGCUCCGUUUUGAAGAAUGGGUGGAUGGCAGCUAAUCAAGGAGACCCCUCAGGAGGUGGCCUUUGAACUGACAAAAUAAGCAUGUGUAGAGUACUUCGUAUAGUGGCACAAUCUACUGAUGAAUAAAGACCCGGUGAAAAUCGAGAGUGGUUUUCUUGAAAGUCAAAGUGGCAUAUAUGGACAAGUGUUUUUCCCAUCACUCUUCAGCAGCACCCACCUCUCAGUUGCAGCAGGAGGUGGUGAACAAUGCUUAAAAUGCGUGAAGUGCUUUUCAAUUUAGUGACUUAAAAGUCAGCCAUUGAAUGGUAUUUUUUUCUUUAUAGAUUUAGCAAUGAUUCAAUGCAUUCUAUUUAGGCUUAUCUAUCUUUAGCGAUGGAUUUCUUUUUAAAAAACAGGUGAGAAAUUCUGUGGGUUUCAAAAAUGUGUUGAUAUUAGAUGGCUCAGCUGAUGACUGAAAAACUUGUGGCUUACACUGCAAUAGCUUGACUUUCUAAGUAGGUCACUGUAAGAUAAAUGAAUUCAAAACUUUUCUUCUACUUACUGUAGAUUUACCAGAGCUGUAUCAUCAGAAGGGCUGACGGGUAUUCAGAAAAUGGUUGUAGAACCUUGGCGGUAGAGUUGAUUGUAUUAAAUAAAGUGAAAGUAAAAGUAAUUCACAUUAGAUAUUAUUACAAAAAGGAAUUAAAUAUUAAAUUUUGUAUUUUGUGUUUUAUUUUUAAAAUUUCAAAGAAACGUUUUUGCUAUUUUUUUCCAUAUUGAACUGAAAGACUUCACUUGUUUUGGAGUUUUAUUGUAUAAAGUACUUAAUUAUUUAUAUUUAGGACCCUAAAAUAACUUUUUAACAAUCAAAAUAAGUUGAUUGCUAAAUAAGACUGUGAAUUAUGUCUUUCUGAGGAUAUUUCAAAACAUACUUAUUAAUGUGAAAUAAAAAUAUAAAGCAAAUAAUUUAUAUAGAUAAAAGCAUAUUUAUAUAUUGUAUGUUUGUUUUAUAUAUAUAUGUUAACUUGCUUGGUUGAAAAUCACAUAAUGAACUGCACCCUCUGAACCAUGAACUAAGUAAAACUCUCCUCCAGUUAAUUACAGGUGUCAUUUUUUCCAACAAGAGGACAGUAGACCCGUACAGGUAUGUAUUUUUAUUUAUAGUAAAUAUUUUAUUUUCAUACAUUGUAGGUUGAGUGAUGAUCUGUUUGUUUCUGGAAAUGAGUUAGUUGACUGUGAUUUAGAAACUUUCUUAAAUGAUCAUUAUUUUAUGACAUUGGAGAUUCUUAUUAUUUAUGAGAUGCUAUGAACAUGUAUUUAAAAAGACCAAUUAUUUCAACAUUUAUUAAACUAGUUAACUUAGAAAGCAAUACAAUUUAGGAGAAAGAGGAUGGGUUUAGAGUUACACAGAUCAGGAUUUGAUUCUGGGUUCUGCACAUACUAGCUGUAUUAUUUGUAAUAUGUUAUUCAAAGUCCUAGUUUUGAGUAUUAAAUCAAGUAACAGUUAUAGGUACCUGUAAGUUAGAAUUCAAUAAAUAAUUACCACAUAGCCUUACAAUUAUUAAUUGAAGUGUUAUCUUUUUCCUGUUCUAGUAAUGACUUUUCUUAGGCCUGGUUAUUUCCAAGAUUAUUCUCAAAGUGUUUUGAAAUGUUGAACAAAAGAUAAUAAAAGAAAAUAAUAAUGGUUCCUAAGUAUUUCUAUUUAAGUAGUUUGACUAAGAAAUCUGUUAAUAGUGCUAAAUCCAAUUUAAGCUUGUAUUCUUUCUUUUAAAUAAAACCAUAAUCAUUAUAUAUGU